GAUCCUGGCUCAGGAUGAACGCUGGCGGCGUGCUUAACACAUGCAAGUCGAACGGGAAUUACUUUAUUGAAACUUCGGUCGAUUUAAUUUAAUUCUAGUGGCGGACGGGUGAGUAACGCGUGGGUAACCUGCCUUAUACAGGGGGAUAACAAAGUCAGAAAUGGCUGCUAAUACCGCAUAAGCGCACAGAGCUGCAUGGCUCGGUGUGAAAAACUCCGGUGGUAUAAGAUGGACCCCGCGUUUGGAUUAG
rnacentral:rRNA from 1 species